rfam:Salmo salar isolate Sally breed double haploid chromosome ssa21, whole genome shotgun sequence.
UGGCUUAGUUGGUAGAGCAUGGUGUUUGCAACGCCAGGGUUGUGGGUUCGAUUCCCAU